GGAUGCGAUCAUACCAGCACUAAAGCACCGGAUCCCAUCAGAACUCCGAAGUUAAGCGUGCUUGGGCGAGAGUAGUACUAGGAUCGGUGAACUCCUAGGAAGUCCUCGUGUUGCAUUCC
rnacentral:rRNA from 1 species